GGCGCGGUGGCCGAGGAGUUAGGCAACGGUCUGCAAAACCGUGUACACCGGUGCAAGUCCGGUCCGCGCCU
rnacentral:tRNA from 1 species